rnacentral:rRNA from 1 species
UGCCGCGUGAUCGAUGAAGGCCUUAGGGUUGUAAAGAUCUUUCGUAUGGGAAGAUAAUGACUGUCCCAUCACAAAAAGCCCCGGCUAACUCCGUGCCAACAGCCGCGGUAAUACGGAGGGGGCUAGCGUUGUUCGGAAUUACUGGGCGUAAAGCGCACCUAAGCUGACUGGAAAGUCAGAGGUGAAAUCCCUUGGCUCAACCUUGGAACUGCCUUUGAAACUCUCACUCUUGACGUCGAUAGAGGUGAGUGGAAUUCCGAGUGUAGAAGUGAAAUUCGUAUAUAUUCGGAGGAACACCAGUGGCGAAGGCGGCUCACUGGCUCGAUGCUGACGCUGACGUGCUAAAGCGUGGGGAGCAAACAGGAUUAAAUACCCUGGUAGUCCACGCCAUAAACUAUCAAGGCCAUACGUCCGGUAGCAUGCUAUUCGGUGUCACACCUAAAGGAUUAAUCAUUCCGCCUGGGGAGUACGGUCGCAAGAUUAACACUCAAAGGAAUUGACGGGAGCCCGCACAAGCGGUGGAGCAUGUGGUUUAAUUCGAAGCAGCACGAAGAACCUUACCUACCCUUGACAUGGGUAUCGCGGGAUCACAGAUGGUCCUUUCAAUUCGGCUGGAUACCACA